UACAGAGGUGGCAAGCGUUGUUCGGAAUUACUGGGCGUAAAGGGCGCGUAGGCGGUCAGGUCAGUCCCGUGUGAAAUCCCUCGGCUCAACUGAGGAACUGCACGGGAAACUACCUGGCUUGAGUUCGGGAGAGGGAAGCGGAAUUCCGGGUGUAGCGGUGAAAUACGUAGAUAUCCGGAGGAACACCGGUGGCGAAGGCGGCUUCCUGGACCGACACUGACGCUGAGGCGCGAAAGCUAGGGGAGCAAACGGG
rnacentral:rRNA from 1 species